rnacentral:rRNA from 1 species
GACGAACGCUGGCGGCGCGCCUAACACAUGCAAGUCGAACGGAGCUGAGAGAAGCUUGCUUUUCUUAGCUUAGUGGCGAACGGGUGAGUAACGCGUGAGUAACCUGCCCUGGAGUGGGGGACAACAGUUGGAAACGACUGCUAAUACCGCAUAAGCCCACGAUCCGGCAUCGGAUUGAGGGAAAAGGAUUUAUUCGCUUCAGGAUGGACUCGCGUCCAAUUAGCUAGUUGGUGAGGUAACGGCCCACCAAGGCGACGAUUGGUAGCCGGACUGAGAGGUUGAACGGCCACAGUGGGACUGAGACACGGCCCAGACUCCUACGGGAGGCAGCAGUGGGGGAUAUUGAACAAUGGGGGAAACCCUGAUGCAGCGACGCCGCGUGGAGGAAGAAGGUUUUCGGAUUGUAAACUCCUGUCGUUAGGGACGAUAAUGACGGUACCUAACAAGAAAGCACCGGCUAACUACGUG